rnacentral:misc_RNA from 1 species
GAAAUGCGAAAGGAGGGUGAAUUUCAGAAUUCCGUGAAUCAACGAAUCUUUUAACGCAAAUUGCGCCCCUUGGUAUUCCAUGGGGCAUGCCUGUUCGAGCGUCAUUUGUACCCUCAAGCUUUGCUUGGUGUUGGGCGUCUUGUCCUCUUCUGGAGGACUCGCCUCAAAACAAUUGGCAGCCGGCAUAUUGGUAUCGGAGCGCAGCACAAGUCGCACUUUGUUCCAUGAAUGUUGGCAUCCAUCAAGACCAUUUUUUCACUCUUGACCUCGGAUCAGGUAGGGAUACCCGCUGAACUUAA